rnacentral:rRNA from 1 species
UACGUAGGGACCAAGCGUUGUUCGGAUUUACUGGGCGUAAAGGGCGCGUAGGCGGCCUGACAGGUCACUUGUGAAAUCUCCGAGCUUAACUCGGAACGGUUAAGUGAAACCAACAGGCUAGAGUGCAGAAGGGGCAAUCGGAAUUCUUGGUGUAGCGGUGAAAUGCGUAGAUAUCAAGAGGAACACCUGAGGUGAAGACGGGUUGCUGGGCUGACACUGACGCUGAGGCGCGAAAGCCAGGGGAGCAAACGGG